CUCCUACGGGAGGCAGCAGUAGGGAAUCUUCGGCAAUGGGGGCAACCCUGACCGAGCAACGCCGCGUGAGUGAAGAAGGUUUUCGGAUCGUAAAGCUCUGUUGUAAGAGAAGAAUGUGUGUGAGAGUGGAAAGUUCACACAGUGACGGUAACUUACCAGAAAGGGACGGCUAACUACGUGCCAGCAGCCGCGGUAAUACGU
rnacentral:rRNA from 1 species